ensembl:lncRNA
CCAGCACCUUCGAGUCCUCCUCCACCCAACGGGCUCCCCGAGGCUCAUAUUUCAACACACUCACAAGGCCCUUCCAACGUGCCCCUCAAGUUAUGAGUUGGAAAUGCCAGCAGGAAUGGAAAAUCCAGGGCACAGCCAGGAGCGCAGUCCGGCGAUACCGUAGAGCAACACAGCCUACCUGGUUACACUCUACAACCAAGUGUCAUCUUCCCUCACGGAAAAUAAUGAAGGGAUGUCCACUUUCCCUCAAUAUGAAGAGUGUGCGAAAUGGAUUGAAUCCAGGAAAAAAGAAACAAGUACUGUACUCAGAAAUCGCACAAGGAGCCUGGCACCGGUGGCGGACCGAGUGUGGACUAUGUGCAGUGUAUCCUGCAUUCCUGAGUCCCCUUCCCAAGUGUACUCUAGAAUUGCUCUUCCCCAUCCCUUUUGCAGUUAGGCAGCGCUACAUGACCCGUGUUAGAUGGAGAUAUGCAUGAGAAUGAACUGUAUUAGACACGAGCAGAAGCUGUCCGGCAUGCUUCCUCUCCACAGCUGUGUGGAUCAGGGAAGCAAAUGUCGAGACGGUUUCAUUAACCUGGGUCCCUGAGAGAACACAAUGAUCAGAGUCGUUCUGCUGACUCCAGUUAGACAGGUGCAUUAAAGAGAAAGUAAAGCCCC